UACGGGGGGGGCAAGCGUUGUUCGGAAUUACUGGGCGUAAAGGGCUCGUAGGCGGCCAACUAAGUCCGACGUGAAAUCCCCAGGCUUAACCUGGGAACUGCGUCGGAUACUGGAUGGCUUGAAUCCGGGAGAGGGAUGCGGAAUUCCUGGUGUAGCGGUGAAAUGCGCAGAUAUCAGGAGGAACACCGGUGGCGAGGGCGGUUCUCUGGGCCUUACCUGACGCUGAGGAGCGAAAGCGUGGGGAGCAAACAGG
rnacentral:rRNA from 1 species